rnacentral:tRNA from 1 species
GCCUGGGUGGCUCAGUAGUUGAGCAUCUGCCUUUGGUUCAGAGCAUGAUCCCAGGGUCCUGGGAUCAAGUCCCACAUCAGGCU